rnacentral:rRNA from 1 species
GAUGAACGCUAGCGGGAGGCCUAACACAUGCAAGCCGAGCGGGAUUUGUUGGUUAGCUUGCUAACUGAUAAUGAGAGCGGCGUACGGGUGCGGAACAUGUGUGCAAUCUGCCCUUAUCAAGGGGAUAGCCCAGAGAAAUCUGGAUUAAUACCCUAUAACAUAUGAGAUGGCAUCAUUUCAUAUUAAAAGCUACGGCGGAUAAGGAUGAGCACGCACAAGAUUAGCUAGUUGGUAAGGUAACGGCUUACCAAGGCGACGAUCUUUAGGGGGCCUGAGAGGGUGAUCCCCCACACUGGGACUGAGACACGGCCCAGACUCCUACGGGAGGCAGCAGUGAGGAAUAUUGGACAAUGGGUGGAAGCCUGAUCCAGCCAUCCCGCGUGCAGGACGACUGCCCUAUGGGUUGUAAACUGCUUUUAUAUAGGGAUAAACCUACUCUCGUGAGAGUAGCUGAAGGUACUAUAUGAAUAAGCACCGCUAACUCC